rfam:Triticum aestivum genome assembly, contig: Triticum_aestivum_CS42_TGACv1_scaffold_542482_6DS
AAGAUACUCCCUCCGUUCCAAAAUUCUUGUCUUAGAUUUGUCUAGAUACGGAUGUAUCUAAUACUAAAACGUGACUUGAUACAUCCGUAUUAAGACAAAAUCUAAGACAAGAAUUUUGAGAUGGAGGGAGUAGUAG